rnacentral:rRNA from 1 species
AGGCCACUGCUAUCGGAGUUCGAUUAAGCCAUGCUAGUCGAGAGGUGUAAGACCUCGGCAUACUGCUCAGUAACACGUGGACAACCUACCCUGAAGAGGGGGAUAACCCCGGGAAACUGGUGAUAAUACCCCAUAGACUAUGGAUGCUGGAAUGCUUUGUAGUUGAAAGGUCCGCCGCUUCAGGAUGGGUCUGCGGCCGAUUAGGUUGUUGUUGGGGUAACGGCCCAACAAGCCUGUAAUCGGUACGGGUUGUGGGAGCAAGAGCCCGGAGAUGGAUUCUGAGACACGAAUCCAGGCCCUACGGGGCGCAGCAGGCGCGAAAACUUUACAAUGCGAGCAAUCGUGAUAAGGGAACUCCGAGUGCCUGUAAAAUCAGGCUGUCCGCCAGUGUAAAUAACUGGUGAAGAAAGGGCCGGGCAAGACCGGUGCCAGCCGCCGCGGUAAUACCGGCGGCUCGAGUGGUGGCCACUAUUACUGGGCUUAAAGCGUUCGUAGCUGGUCUGUUAAGUCUCUGGGGAAAUCUUCCGGCUUAACCGGAAGGCGUCUCAGGGAUACUGGCAGACUAGGGACCGGAAGAGGUGAGAGGUACUCCAGGGGUAGGAGUGAAAUCCUGUAAUCCUUGGGGGACCACCUGUGGCGAAGGCGUCUCACCAGGACGGCUCCGACAGUGAGGAACGAAAGCUGGGGGAGCAAACCGGAUUAGAUACCCGGGUAGUCCCAGCUGUAAACGAUGCGCGUUAGGUGUAUCGGUGACCACGAGUCACCGAGGUGCCGAAGAGAAAUCGUGAAACGCGCCGCCUGGGAAGUACGGCCGCAAGGCUGAAACUUAA